UGUCGGGCUGGGUGCAGGGCAGAUGGACUGACCCCUGUUCUCUUUGGUUUAGGGAGCAGCUGCCUCACCCCCUGGGCUCCCGACGCCACUUUCAGGCAGCCUGGGGCCUGACAGGCUGAGCAGCGACUCGCCCACCUACGUGAACAUCCCUGUCAGCCCCUCAUCCAAAAAGCAGCUGCACUACAUGGGCCUGGAGCUGCAGGCCAGCGAGGGGAUCCGAGGGGCGGGCGCCUCCCGCUAUGCGCAGAUCGACAUCACAGCCAUGGAGGCGGCCCACAGGGUGGGGGCCCGGCACGCGCAGACCCGGGAGGAGCGGCUGCCAGAGCUGGAGCAGAGGAAGCGGGGGGCCCUGCAGUGAGGCGGCCGGACACUCCCCCAACCGGACAGGCUAGCACGGCCAUGCCGGCCGCCCUCCUGUGGGUCCCUGGCUGUCUGGGCUCUGUGAUUUGUGGCCUCCUAGCCGCAGGGUGGGCAUGGCCGGUGCCCUGGCCGGCGUGGGUGGGUGGGAGGUUCUGGGGCUCCUGCCCAGCUCUUCCUGCCUCUGGGGCCAGAGAUGACCCUUCCUCUGGCCUCAACAUGUCACGGGACAUCAGCCUGAUGGGGGGAGCAGCUGUCUAGGUGCCAGGUAGCUUCCACUUCAUUAUCUGAGGCCGCAUCUCAGCUGCUGGUGGCGGGGCUGGUGGCGGGGCCGGGACUGCGAGCAGGGCCCAGGGCUCUGGAGGUGGUGGCCUCCCAAAUGACUGCAGGUGUGUCCUUGGAAAAUGCCAUGUCCCCAAGCCAUGGCCCGGACCAGGCCCGACCCACGCCGAGCGUCCUGCAGCCCUCGGCUCAGGGACCCCCAGCUGCCACCCUCUGCACCUGGAAGCCGCCCCUCCCAGGUCACUGCCAUUUGGACCUGAGCCCUCGGCCCCGGAGGACUGUCCCCCGUUCCGACCGGCCAGGCGGGCCCCGUGUGUUUACCUGGGCGUGCUUCCCGGGGCCCGCUGCAGUCACUCGUGUGCAGUUGAAGACGCUUCCUGCUCUAUUUUUAACGACGCCCAGUGUUUUCCUGAAGGGUGAGGUGCUUCCCUUUCUGUGUGGUGGCGGUGGCUGGUUCACCUGGCGGCCCCGGGAUGGGACUCUGCUGUCUGGACACAGUGGAGGGGCUCAGGGCCCCCGCAUGCGUCUGUCGGGGCGCCCCUCUCCGUAGGGACGCUGUGUGGCAUGCCCAUGGCUCGGAGUGGGCCCGGCCUCACUGGCUAGUGGGGUCUGGACACGGGGAAUCUUCCAGAGUUGGGGGGGCCUUCUGCCACCCCUCCUAGGCCUGACAGGGACGUGCCCACUGGGCCCCCCUACCCUGGUGUCUGAGAUGAUACGGCUCUGUCCUACCUGGCUGGAGGCUCCAGCCACGGGGACUCACGCCCCCUUCCUGCCCCCGCUCUCCCACCCAUUAUCCAUCUCCCUCUCUCUCCACCAGCUGCUCCGUGGCUGUCGUGCCCAUAGAGAGCACCAGGGGCUGACAUUGUCCACAUGCUCCUCAGCAGGGGUCCCCGGGGCUGAUGGGCUCCAGAGCACCAGCCUCCCCGCCACACCGCAUCCGAGCUGACAUCUGACUGCUGGGGCAGUCCGGGCAGCGGGGAGAUGACCCAGUCCUGAGCCUGUAGGGGUAAAUGUCCCGGGUGGGGUGCACAGGCCCUGGGGUUGAUCUGGGUCAGCCUCGAAGGACCCCACUAGCACCUCCAGGACAAGGUUCUAGGGUAGCAGGACUUCCCUUUAACCUGAGUGGGGGAUGAAACAUGCCUGGCACACCCCAGCCCUGGGCAGGCUGCAGGGCCUUACCAGUGGCCUUGAGUGGCUGGCAUCUGGAGUCUCCUCUUUCCAGAACAGGACAUGGCUGCUCUCUGGGAUGCUAAAACAGGGUUCUGAUGUGUGAGGCCUCUAGGGAAGUUUGGGCCUAGACUGGACUCCUAGCAGGGCCUGGGCCGCGUUCUGUUCCCACCUGCGAGUUUGGUGGCCCGAGGGGUCUCCUGGGACACAUCCACCUGCAAAUGUAUGGCUGAGGGGUGGGGCCCAGGGAGGCGAGCAGCUCCCUGUUGGGUGCUACACAGGGUGCGCCCUCCUGCCCUUGGGCUCCCCAGCUGGGGGCAGAAGGACGCAGGGUGGGGGGCCCUCUGAUGCUGGGUUGGGUUUAGCAUCUUCAUUUGGAACAUCAGCGCCAGACAGGGCACUUUACCCUUCUAAAGAAUUGAAAUAUUAUAAAACAUAACUGAUGUUACUUCCAGUGUGUGGUGUGACAAUGCGACACUAUUUACUGUGCAGUAGCCACCCUAGGAAGUCAAAUGCCUACAACCUCACAACAGUUACACGGUUUACUUUUCCUGGAGAUGAGAACUGUCAGCAUCUACUCUCAGCUACUUUCAGAUGCACAGUGCAGUGCUAACUACUGUCGCCGUGCUGUACGCACACCUGCAGACUUCUCACAGCUAGGAAUCUGUCCCUUCUGCCCAUCUUCACCCAUCUUACCCCCUCCCUGCCUCUGACCACCAUUCUUUCUCUGUAUCUGUG